UACGGGGGGGGCAAGCGUUGUUCGGAAUUACUGGGCGUAAAGGGCGCGUAGGCGGGCGGGCAAGUCUCUCGUGAAAGCCCACGGCUCAACCGUGGAAUUGCGGGAGAUACUGCCUGUCUUGAGUCCGGGAGAGGAGGGUGGAACUCCCAGUGUAGCGGGGAAAUGCGUAGAUAUUGGGAGGAACACCGGUCGCGAAGGCGGCUCUCUGGACCGGGACUGAAGCUGGGGCGCGAAAGCUAGGGUAGCAAUCGGG
rnacentral:rRNA from 1 species